GAGGGAAAGUUGCAAAGCCACUUUGAAGAGAGAGUUAAAGAGGACGUGAAACCGGUGAGGUGGAAACGGAUAGAGUCGGCGUAUCUUUCAAGUAUUCAGUUACAUUAUUUUUAUGUUGUGAUCUAUCCAGCUUCCAGAUUGGGACAGAGGGAAACAGCAUAAUAUAGUGUGAUGCAUUUACUUGAUUGGUGCUUGGGGAUGUUUGAGGCAGAUUUGUCACCGCCGUUGAGACUCCAGCUUGCUGGUACCCAAACGGUGUUAGCAUUGCAAGUCUAGCAUCAUUUGAGUAUGUCGGAGAAGCAUUUAUUGAAUGGAUCUGAGUGUAAGGUGUUACGUACGCCUGCGCCACGUGCCGACGAAUUAGUUCAAGGAAAGCAGUGCUCCUGUACUCGGGUCUCAGGACAAAUUCGCACAUAUGACGCAGGCGUAAUGACUCUCAGUGCCCCGUCUUGAUAUCACGUGCCCAAGGAGUUUGGCAUUAAAACGAUAAAAGCGAAAGCAAACCCAAGAGCCUUAAUAAAAUCUGAAUGCAGGAUGGAGUAAUCAAAGAGCAGCAUGGCACCCAUCCUAACGUUUUACAGUAGGGUGGCGGAAGAGCGUACGCGUUGGGACCCGAAAGAUGGUGAACUAUUCCUGAACAUGGCGAAGCCAGCGGAAACUCUGGUGGAAGUUCGCAGCGGUUCUGACGU
rnacentral:rRNA from 1 species